AACGAACGCUGGCGGCAUGCCUAACACAUGCAAGUCGAACGGACGGUAGCAAUACCGUUAGUGGCGGACGGGUGAGUAACGCGUGGGAACCUGCCUCGAAGUUCGGAAUAACCGCGGGAAACUGCGGCUAAUACCGGAUGUGGCCUGAAGGGUCAAAGGCGCAAGUCGCUUCGAGAGGGGCCCGCGUCCGAUUAGCUAGUUGGUGGGGUAAACGCCUACCGAAGGCGACGAUCGGUAGCUGGUCUGAGAGGAUGAUCAGCCACACUGGGACUGAGACACGGCCCAGACUCCUACGGGAGGCAGCAGUGGGGAAUAUUGGACAAAUGGGGGAAAACCCUGAUCCAGCAAUGCCGCGUGGGUGAUGAAGGCCUUGGUUGG
rnacentral:rRNA from 1 species